GAUGAACGCUGGCGGCGUGCCUAAUACAUGCAAGUCGAGCGAACGGACGAGAAGCUUGCUUCUCUGAUGUUAGCGGCGGACGGGUGAGUAACACGUGUAUAACCUACCUAUAAUACUGGGAUAACUUCGGGAAACCGUAGCUAAUACCGGAUAAUAUUUUGAACCGCAUGGUUCAAAAGUUAAAGACGGUCUUGCUGUCACUUAUAGAUGGAUCCGCGCUGCAUUAGCUAGUUGGUAAGUUAAAGGCUUACCAAGGCAACGAUGCAUAGCCGACCUGAGAGGGUGAUCGGACAAACGGGAAGGGAGACACGGUACAGAGGACGACGGGAGGGAGCAGAAGGGAAUAGGCCGAAAUGGGCGAAAGCAUGACGGAGAAAGGCCGCGUGAGUGAUGAAGGUCUUCGGAUCGUAAAAAUCUGUUAUGAGGGAAGAAAAGAUGUGUAAGUAAAUGUGCACAUCGUGACGGUACCUAAUCAGAAAGCAACGGCUAACUACGUG
rnacentral:rRNA from 1 species